GUACCAAUCAUCUGGAUGGCAUCAUCCAAGUGUUUAUUGUCCUGAGUGCAAUAUAUACAAUGGCCAAGUGGACCGUUCGCUCGUGUGUGCAUUUAGAUCCUAGUUUUUCUAGGAACUACAAGUGGGGGUAAGCUGGAGCGAUUCAUCCGACUCGACUCAGCCGUUCGACUCAGAGUUAGAAUAGUAUACGCAACCAUGAAGCAAAGACGAGGAGAAAUAAUUUUGAAACUUAACGGAUACAUUUCUAUAAAAGAUAUGGUGGCGAAGAGAAGUCACCGUUAUGCUCGGAGGAGCGAGCUUCCUCUUUGAAGAGGAAGAUUGGGAUGGAGAAAAUAUUUUUAGCUUGAGGGAGCUCUUUGGGCUCUCUCCAAUAACUAAUUAUAAUUGGGACUUUGACUACGAUACAGAGGAUGAGUGCUAAGGGAAU